rnacentral:rRNA from 1 species
GACGAACGCUGGCGGCGUGCCUAAUACAUGCAAGUAGAACGCACGGUUUAUACCGUAGCUUGCUACACCAUAGACUGUGAGUUGCGAACGGGUGAGUAACGCGUAGGUAACCUGCCUGGUAGCGGGGGAUAACUAUUGGAAACGAUAGCUAAUACCGCAUAAUAUUAAUUAUUGCAUGAUAAUUAAUUGAAAGGUGCAAUUGCACCACUACCAGAUGGACCUGCGUUGUAUUAGCUAGUAGGUGAGGUAACGGCUCACCUAGGCGACGAUACAUAGCCGACCUGAGAGGGUGAUCGGCCACACUGGGACUGAGACACGGCCCAGACUCCUACGGGAGGCAGCAGUAGGGAAUCUUCGGCAAUGGACGAAAGUCUGACCGAGCAACGCCGCGUGAGUGAAGAAGGUUUUCGGAUCGUAAAGCUCUGUUGUAAGAGAAGAACGGGUGUGAGAGUGGAAAGUUCACACUGUGACGGUAUCGUACCAGAAAGGGACGGCUAACUACGU